AAUCAACGCUGGCGGCGUGCCUAACACAUGCAAGUCGAACGCGAAAGCCCCGCAAGGGGUAAGUAGAGUGGCAAACGGGUGAGUAACACGUGGGUGACCUGCCUUCGAGUGGGGGAUAACGUCCCGAAAGGGACGCUAAUACCGCAUGACAUCCUGCUUUUGAAAAAGCGGAGAUCAAAGCUGGGGAUCGCAAGACCUAGCGCUUGAAGAGGGGCCCGCGCCUGAUUAGCUAGUUGGUGAGGUAACGGCUCACCAAGGCGACGAUCAGUAUCCGGCCUGAGAGGGCGGACGGACACACUGGGACUGAGACACGGCCCAGACUCCUACGGGAGGCAGCAGGGGGGAAUUGUUCGCAAUGGGCGCAAGCCUGACGACGCAACGCCGCGUGGAGGACGAAGAUCUUCGGGUCGUAAACUCCGGUCGAGCGGGACGAACGCUUCGCGGAUGAAUAAUCCGCGGAAUUGACGGUACCGCUAAAGGAAGCCCCGGCUAACUCCGUG
rnacentral:rRNA from 1 species